UAAGCACCGCUACUGUGCCGCAUCGGUCACGUAUCGAAUUACUGGCGUAAGCGUGCGAGGCGGUGAGCAAUGUGAACCCGGUACCUGGACGUCUCCUGAGUGGGCGAGGGGAUGAUUCCGUGUGAGGAAAUGCGUAUAUGAGGACACCAUGGCGAAGGCAAUCCCUGGGGCUGACGCUCAUGCACAAAGCGGGGGAGCAAACAGGAUUAACACCCUGGUAGUCCCGCCCUAACUGUCAACUGGUUGUGGUCUGUAACGUAACGCGUGAAGUGACGCCUGGGGGUACGGCGUAAGGUUAAAACUCAAAGGCACAAGUUUAUCGCGGAGAACUUACCACUCUAUACGGGGGAUGGAGGUCUGCAUGGCUUUCAGCUCGUGUCGUGAGAUGUGGGUUAAGUCCCCAACGACGCACCCUCGCAUUAGUUGCACGGACUCUAGGGGACUGCCGGU
rnacentral:rRNA from 1 species